GGGGGACUGGCGGAACAUGGCAGACGCGCACGGUUCAGGUCCGUGUGAGCUUACGCUCAUCGGGGUUCAAAUCCCCGGUCCCCCA
rnacentral:tRNA from 1 species